rnacentral:rRNA from 1 species
UACGAAGGGGGCUAGCGUUGCUCGGAAUUACUGGGCGUAAAGGGCGCGUAGGCGGAUAGUUUAGUCAGAGGUGAAAGCCCGGGGCUCAACCUUGGAAUUGCCUUUGAUACUGGCUAUCUUGAGUUCGGGAGAGGUGAGUGGAAUGCCGAGUGUAGAGGUGAAAUUCGUAGAUAUUCGGCGGAACACCAGUGGCGAAGGCGACUCACUGGCCCGAUACUGACGCUGAGACGCGAAAGCGUGGGGAGCAAACAGG